UACGUAGGGGGCGAGCGUUGUCCGGAGUUACUGGGCGUAAAGGGCACGCAGGCGGUGCGGCGCGUUUCGCGUGACAGCGGAGGGCUUAACUCUCCGAGGAUGCGAAAGACGGCGGCACUUGAGGGCCAGAGAGGGACACGGAAUUCCGGGUGGAGUGGUGAAAUGCGUAGAGAUCCGGAGGAACACCGAAGGCGAAGGCAGUGUCCUGGCUGGUGACUGACGCUGAGGUGCGACAGCGUGGGGAGCAAACAGG
rnacentral:rRNA from 1 species